CCCCCCCAAGGCCGAGCCCCCGUCCGGCAAAAAACACGGUCGGAGCCACCGCAUAGGCCAGCGUGGGUGGCCGGGGCAGCGCUUUCCUGAAGGGCAGCGGGGCUGCAAUCCAGAAGGGAGAUGGGAAGGGGGCCGCUCCAGGACCCACGAAACUACAACUCCCAGAGGACCGAAGCGCCUUAAAGACAGAGGCCCGUUUUCUGGGACUCCGGGAUCCAGGCCAGGCACGGUGGCUCGCACCUGUAGUCCCAGCCCUUUGGUGAGGCCGAGGCGGGUGGAUCAUGAGGUCGGGAGUUGAAGACCAGCCUGGCCAAUAUGGUGAAACCCCGUCUACUAAAAAUACAAAAAUUAGCUGAGCGUGGUGGCGCGCACCUGUAGUCCCAGCAGCUUGGGAGGCUGAGGAAGGAGAAUCGCUUGAACCCGGGAGGCAGAGGUUGCAGUGAGCUGAGAUUGCACCACUGCACUCCAGCCUGGGCAACACAGUGAGGCCCUGUCUAAAAAAAAAAAAAAAAUUCCUCUUUCCCCAAUAUCUGACCUUUCCCCUUUAAAUAUUGAAGCCCUCAAAAUCAUCUUUGGAGAAAGGUACAGACCUGUCUCCCAGGUGCACACAUUCUUAACUUUGGCAAAAUAAACUUGUAAAUUGAUUGAGA